UGCAGAUAGUAGCUCGUAGUGUGGAUUUGUGGCUGUCGCCGGCGGCCUAUCACUUAGUGUUAGUGCUUGCUUGCGUCGCCAUCCUUGGGUGGAGCCUGCGUGGCAUUAGGUUGUCGUGUAGGGGAUGCCCCUCGUUUACUGUGAGAAAAUUAGAGUGUUCCAAGCAGGCUUAUGCCGUUGAAUAUGUUAGCAUGGAAUAAUAAGAUAGGACCUCGGUACUAUUUUGUUGGUUUGCGCACCGAGGUAAUGAUUAAUAGGGACAGUUGGGGG
rnacentral:rRNA from 1 species